GUGAACGCUGGCGGUAGGCCUAACACAUGCAGGUCGAACGGCAGCACAGUAAGAGCUUGCUCUUACGGGUGGCGAGUGGCGGACGGGUGAGGAAUACAUCGGAAUCUACUUUUUCGUGGGGGAUAACGUAGGGAAACUUACGCUAAUACCGCAUACGACCUACGGGUGAAAGCAGGGGAUCUUCGGACCUUGCGCGAUUGAAUGAGCCGAUGUCGGAUUAGCUAGUUGGCGGGGUAAAGGCCCACCAAGGCGACGAUCCGUAGCUGGUCUGAGAGGAUGAUCAGCCACCCUGGAACUGAGACACGGUCCAGACUCCUACGGGAGGCAGCAGUGGGGAAUAUUGGACAAUGGGCGCAAGCCUGAUCCAGCCAUACCGCGUGGGUGAAGAAGGCCUUCGGGUUGUAAAGCCCUUUUGUUGGGAAAGAAAAGCGGCAGGUUAAUACCCCGCUGUUCUGACGGUACCCAAAGAAUAAGCACCGGCUAACUUCGUG
rnacentral:rRNA from 1 species